AAAGUAGCCAAAAUAAAAGCAUAACUAACUGGGAGUAUUUUUCUGCUUUAGCUAUUUUUAGCCUCCAAUUUGAAAUAACCAUGUGUGUGUUAUUACAGCUGUCUUCACAUGUCUAUGCCAGUGAACAGUUUGACAACUUACCUGGGGUUGGCUGGCCACAGUCUCAUUAGUUCCUGCAAAGGGCUUCUGAUAGCACCAUUGAGCGAAG